GAUGAACGCUGGCGGCGUGCUUAACACAUGCAAGUCGAACGAUGAAGCCCAGCUUGCUGGGUGGAUUAGUGGCGAACGGGUGAGUAACACGUGAGUAACCUGCCCUUAACUCUGGGAUAAGCCUGGGAAACUGGGUCUAAUACCGGAUAGGAGCGCCUACCGCAUGGUGGGUGUUGGAAAGAUUUAUCGGUUUUGGCUGGACUCGCGGCCUAUCAACUUGUUGGUGGGGUAAUGGCUCACCAAGGCCACGACGGGUAGCCGGCCUGAGAGGGUGGCCGGCCACACUGGGACUGGGACACGGCCCAGACUCCUACGGGAGGCAGCAGUGGGGAAUAUUGCACAAUGGGCGAAAGCCUGAUGCAGCGACGCCGCGUGAGGGAUGACGGCCUUCGGUUUGUAUACCUCUUUCAGUAGGGAAGAAGCGAAAGUGACGGUACCUGCAGAAGAAGCACCGGCUAACUACGUG
rnacentral:rRNA from 1 species